rnacentral:rRNA from 1 species
GAUGAACGCUGGCGGCAUGCCUAACACAUGCAAGUCGAUCGGUAAGGCUCUUCGGAGUACACGAGAGGCGGACGGCUGAGUAACGCGUAGGAACACACCCUGCAGUGAGGGAUAAGACACCGAAAGGUGUUCUAAUACCGCAUACGGUCUUCGGAUUAAAGCAUUUAUGCGCUGAAGGAGUGGCCUGCGUCAUAUUAGAUAGUUGGUGAGGUAAUGGCUCACCAAGUCGAUGAUGUGUAGCUGGUCUGAGAGGAUGAUCAGCCAGACUGGAACUGAGACACGGUCCAGACUCCUACGGGAGGCAGCAGUGAGGAAUAUUUCACAAUGAGCGAAAGCUUGAUGGAGCAAUGCCGCGUGCAGGAUGAAGGCCCUCGGGUUGAAAACUGCUUUUAUAAGAGAAGAUUAUGACGGUAACUUAUGAAUAAGGGACGGCUAACUACGUG